rnacentral:rRNA from 1 species
UACGUAGGCAGCGAGCGUUGUUCGGAGUUACUGGGCGUAAAGAGUGCGUAGGCGGUGCUCUAAGUUUGGUGUGAAAUCUCCCGGCUCAACUGGGAGGGUGCGCCGAAAACUGGAGUGCUCGAGUGUGGGAGAGGUAAGCGGAAUUCCUGGUGUAGCGGUGAAAUGCGUAGAUAUCAGGAGGAACACCUGCGGUGUAGACGGCUUACUGGACCAUGACUGACGCUGAGGCACGAAAGCGUGGGUAGCAAAC